UUGGGGUCCACUUCGGUGGCGCGCACACAGGUGCUGCAUGGCUGUCGUCAGCUCGUGUCGUGAGAUGUUGGGUUAAGUCCCGCAACGAGCGCAACCCACGUCCUUAGUUGCCAUCAUUCAGUUGGGCACUCUAGGGAGACUGCCGGUGAUAAGCCGCGAGGAAGGUGUGGAUGACGUCAAGUCCUCAUGGCCCUUACGGGAUGGGCUACACACGUGCUACAAUGGCGGUGACAGUGGGACGCGAAGGAGCGAUCUGGAGCAAAUCCCCAAAAGCCGUCUCAGUUCGGAUUGCACUCUGCAACUCGAGUGCAUGAAGGCGG
rnacentral:rRNA from 2 species